GUGCAUGUUGAUGUUAGUUCUGAUGACAUUUAGGACGAGAGAUUCAAUUAUGAUAGUGCAAUGAAGGUAGCUUUUGAAGAUGAAUUUGAUGAGUAUGAUGAUGAAUUGGUUGAGGAAGAUGAAAUGGCUAAUCUAAUUGACUAUUUAACUGAAGAUGAUCAGGAGGGGAACACAAAAAAAGAUAAAGAAAAAUGCGAAAAAA
rnacentral:lncRNA from 1 species